rnacentral:rRNA from 1 species
GGGGACCCGCACAAGCGGUGGAUGAUGUGGUUUAAUUCGAUGCAACGCGAAAAACCUUACCUACCUUUGACAUGUACGGAACUCGCCAGAGAUGGCUUGGUGCUCGAAAGAGAGCCGUAACACAGGUGCUGCAUGGCUGUCGUCAGCUCGUGUCGUGAGAUGUUGGGUUAAGUCCCGCAACGAGCGCAACCCUUGUCAUUAGUUGCUACGAAAGGGCACUCUAAUGAGACUGCCGGUGACAAACCGGAGGAAGGUGGGGAUGACGUCAAGUCCUCAUGGCCCUUAUGGGUAGGGCUUCACACGUCAUACAAUGGUACAUACAGAGCGCCGCCAACCCGCGAGGGGGAGCUAAUCGCAGAAAGUGUAUCGUAGUCCGGAUUGUAGUCUGCAACUCGACUGCGUGAAGUUGGAAUCGCUAGUAAUCGCGGAUCAGCAUGUCGCGGUGAAUACGUUCCCGGGUCUUGUACACACCGCCCGUCACACCAUGGGAGCGGGUUUUACCUGAAGUAGGUAGCUUAACCGCAAGGAGGGCGCUUACCACGGUAGGAUUCGUGACUGGGGUGAAGUCGUAACAAGGUAACCGUAAGGGC